GGUCCAAAUUUAGCCCAAAAAUAGAUGUGAAAUAACAGUGAAAUUCUGCGAGACUUCCACGUGCUGUAAUGUGCGCGCGCGCAGAACUGGAGCGGAAGACGUCACCAUGGAAACGAGGCGGCAGCCCAACCGUCAAGCAGCUGAUCGCUGACACUCAAUGUGGUUUCACUUUUUUUUUUUUAGAAAUGGUUUAGCGUCGUCAGAAAAAGUCCGUUAGCAUCUCAAAGAAGUGCCAGAAAAAAACCUCUAUGACGCAGGAGAAGUUCCUGAUUUUAACAUUUCUGAAGGGAGCUGCUGACAGAGAGGAUGAAAACAUACACAUUUUGAUGUCCACGCUGUAGGAGCAUUACUAAAUAAUGCUUAUGUUCCUAGGUUCUUCCAUGCUGAUGGCUGUGCUCUAGAGUCAUAUCUCCUGUCGAAGAACAUUUUUAGACAUUAUGAACCAUGAAUAAGUUUACCUCCAACCCCAGUUAAGCAGACCUGAGCAGCUGAUCAAGGAUCAGCAGAAACUCUGCAGAACGGUGGUCCUCCAGCCCAGGACUGGACACCAGUGUUAGUGUCUGUCUCAGAAGCUGAAGAAAAAAGGCCACACCUUAUAGGAAAUAAACGCCUCCUAAGUGUAUGGAAAUACCUGGCUGAGGAGAUCAGUGACAUAAACCAGAUAAAACUGUCAGUGGUCUGAGACAGCUACAAGCCACAAAAACAGUUCAUAGUUCCUGCAUUUCUAUAAUGCAUUAAUGAAUAA